UUGUCUUCGCCGUGUAAAGCCCCUUCGAUGAGUCGAGUUGUUUGGGAAUGCAGCUCUAAAUGGGAGGUAAAUUUCUUCUAAAGCUAAAUAUUGGCCAGAGACCGAUAGCGCACAAGUAGAGUGAUCGAAAGAUGAAAAGCACUUUGGAAAGAGAGUCAAAAAGCACGUGAAAUUUGUUGAAAGGGAAGCGCUUGCAGCCAGACGUGCCCGUAGUUGCUCAUCGGGGGUUCUCCCCGUGUACUCUUCUAUGGGCAGGCCAGCAUCAGUCCGGGCGGUUGGAGAAAGACCUGUGUCAUGUAGCUGUUUUCGGGCAGUGUUAUAGGGCAGGUGGAAUGCAACCAGCCUGGACUGAGGUCCGCGCAUCUGCUAGGAUGCUGGCGUAAUGGCUGUAAGCGGCCCGUCUUGAAACACGGACCAAGGAGUCUAACAUCUAUGCGAGUGUUUGGGUGUCAAGCCCGAGCGCGUAAUGAAAGUGAACGGAGGUGGGGAACCUUUUAGGUGCACCAUCGACCGAUCCUGAUGUCUUCGGAUGGAUUUGAGUAAGAGCAUAGCUGUUGGGACCCGAAAGAUGGUGAACUAUGCCUGAAUAGGGUGAAGCCAGAGGAAACUCUGGUGGAGGCUCGCAGCGGUUCUGACGUGCAAAUCGAUCGUCAAAUUUGGGCAUAGGGGCGAAAGACUAAUCGAACUAUCUAGUAGCUGGUUCCUGC
rnacentral:misc_RNA from 1 species